rnacentral:lncRNA from 1 species
GCCUCUCUCUCUCUCUAUUCAACAAGCCGGCGAGGGAAGGAAAACCGGAGAGGGAGAAAAAUGCCAGCUGGUCACGGUCUCCGAUCUCGGACCAGGGAUCUGUUUUCCAGACCCUUCAGAAAGAAGGGUUACAUCCCAUUGUCCACUUAUCUCAGGACCUACAAGAUUGGUGACUAUGUGGACGUCAAGGUAAAUGGCGCCGUUCACAAGGGCAUGCCCCACAAAUUCUACCAUGGCCGCACUGGUCGUGUCUGGAACAUCACCAAGCGCGCCAUCGGCGUUGAGGUCAACAAGCAGGUACUGAAACAACGGUGAUUUUAGUUUUUAUUUGUGGGUUUUUCUUUGUUUGAUGGACUUUCGGUGUAUGAAUCGUUUUGGGGGUUUUCAGUUUCAUUUUGCUUGAUGCAUUAUUUAUUUGUAUUUUUGGGUUUCCAUUUCAUUGUUAAAUGAUUCAUCCUACUAAGUCCCGAUAUAGGAUGUAAAGAUGUAGCUGAUUUAGCAGAUUAUGUGCAAUAAGUUUCUUGUUUCUGAAUGCUGUUUGCUGAUAUUUUCUAUGUGGUUGGAAUUGUUUAUUCUGAUUAUCCGAUUGGAUUUGUUCAUCCACUUAUAGUAAUCUGUUCGGUAUGUAUAUUAUGAAACUCCAUUUUGAAAUAUGGUGUGCUGCUAUUUCAAAGUUAGAUUUCCUUUUGUACAUUACUACUUUCAGCAAUAGUGUAGCCCCUUUGUAAUGUUGGAGUUGCUAUUGAAGGGGAAAAUAUAUGCAUAAUCACUCUUUUGGGAUGAGCUUAGUUUAUAUAUUUCAAUAAGUUGACUUAUCAUGUUGAUUAAAUGGGACGCAACACCCCAGCGUUUCAGCGGUGAUCAUGUGAACAAUAUUGCAAUCUUCACUUGUUGCUAUCGGGCCUUUUUAUAUUCUUUUCCCGGCUGAUUUUUUCAAGCUUGUGCAUCGUAUGGGGGGUUGGAAAUUUGUGUAAUUGUUGUAUUAAUAUGCUUCCGGAUUUCAGGUGGGUAACCGGAUUAUCAGGAAGAGGAUUCAUGUCAGAGUGGAGCAUGUUCAGCCUUCAAGGUGCACUGAGGAAUUCAAACUGAGGAAGAUAAAGAAUGAUCAGCUCAAGGCAGAGGCCAAGGCAAAGGGUGAGGUGAUUAGCACAAAGAGGCAGCCUGAGGGCCCAAAACCUGGUUUCAUGGUCGAGGGUGCGAUGUUGGAAACGGUUACUCCCAUUCCAUAUGAUGUUGUUAAUGAUCUCAAGGGUGGCUACUAGAUCUACUCUGUUUUUUGGUUUAUUCUUGGCAUAACUUAAGUAAGCUUUGUUAGUUAUUUUGGAUGUGUUGCUUACGUUUUGUAGUUUAUUUUGAAGAGUUACUGCUUCUGCAAAGAUUUUAAUCUUAUUAAUCAUUUUAUUUUAGAGAUAAAUGGAUCCCUUUAAUUGCUUGUGCAUUACGUUUUAGUUCCACAUUAUAGUUCUACAUUACUAUUAAACUAUGUGGUCAACUUGAAAAUACCAAAAAAAUCAAAAUUUAAAUCUUAAUAAAAAUUAUGUAAAAAAAAACAGUUUGAACUCAAGAAAAUAACAAAAAUUGGGAUUCAACUAUUGCGUUGUUGAUUGGAUGCAAUUGUCAUGAUUAUGUUUAUUAAAUGAAUUGCACUUCAGUUGCCUAAUGAAGUAUAUUUUGUAUGUUUGUUUCUCUUUUCUAUGUUCUUCAAAUUCAUAGCUUUUGGUUUGGUAUCACUAUGCUUUCCAUGCAUAUCCAAAUAUUUGGUAUCAUUGGGCAUAUAUACAAAUAUUGAUUUUUUCCCUUUUAACAUUUCUUUAUAACAAAUUUUGAAGUAACAACUGGUCUGUUCCUUUUAGCAUGUUUUUAAGAUAGUGACUUUAUGCAAAUAGGAUUAUGUUGUAUGUAUCUUGACUCUUGAAUAAAAUGGUUUUUUUUGCUAUACCAUUUUUCUUCAAGUUUAUUGCUUUGUUGUGAGAAUGGAAUAAGAUGCUUUUUACAUUAAUUUUUAUUCUCCCAUUAUGCUUUAAGUGUCUUUUAUCAUUUUUUUUUUUUGUAUAAAUGUUUAAAGUAGUAUCUUGUUUUAAUUGGUUUUUUAUAUACCAACAAGGGAAAAGAGUUUCAAUUUGCAUAUACAUAUGAUUUGAAUGAUUGUUUCUUUUUAAUGUUUGUGCAAAUGAAUUGAUGCUCAUGCACGUAUACUUAUUGAUAUGUUGUUUAAUGCGUGACAUUGGUGAGUUUGGAUGCUUUGAAUUUUAUGAAUGUAUUGAAAGAAUUAAUGCGCUAUUUGCAAGUAAAGUUGAGCAGUGCCAACUUCUUCACGCAUAAAUGAUGAAUAAUGUAGAACAUAUCGAUAUGUUUACAUAGUUCGAUUUUUCCACGUCAACAUGAUCUCGCCCAUAGAGAUUAUCUACUAACUUAAUACCUCGAACAAAAAGUGAUUAUAAGUUCUAAUCAUACUUUUGCACUUAAGAUCUAGUUCACUCACUUCUAAGUUUUUAAGUUAGAACUGACAUUUAAUGCAUUUCAAAAAAAAAAAAAAAGCUCAUUGAUGAACAAAAAUAAGUGUUCUUAGACCACCUAUACAAGUUAGAGGUGCUCAUGAGUCAGGUUGGGCUCAAACAAAAUUUUAAGCUCAUUUGCUAGGUUUGACUCAAUAAAUAAGCUUAAAAUUUUGCCCAAAUUUGGCUCGUAUAAAAUGUUAAAACCUGGGUCGAGCCCAAAUACUGUCAAGCUCGAGCUUAACCCAAAUUUUAGAGGUCGAUACUUAGCUUGAGCUCGUUCGAACAUCUAGUUUUAAGCUCGAGCUUGGCUCGAGAUAUAAUCGAGCUACUAAAUUUUGAGCUUGAUUAAGCUCGUUUACCAAUUUUUGUUCUCGAGCUUGAUUUGAUAAUUAAGCUUAGAGUUAAUAAUAUAUAUUAGGAGUAAUAAAGUAAUUUAAUAAUAUAAAUAACAAAACUUGAUAAGGCUCAUGAGCUGUCUGAAUUAAGUAUUUCUAAACUCAAAUUUAGCUAAAGCUUAGCUCAAUACUUUCUAAAUCGUGUUCGAUUUUUUUAAAAUUAAACUCGAGUAACUUGCGAGUAGUAAUGUUUCAUUUACACCCCCACUCAACCUAACUUGCUGUACUUGAAUAACUUUUCUUACUGAAUUUCAGGUUUUAAUGGGCCUAUUGCAAAAACAAGACAAAAAUCCAAAACGAGAAAUCUACAUAUUAGAUGGGCUUUUAUGCCCGGAUGAGCUCCUACAAUGGCGGAUCUGGUCCUUCGUUACCAAUCAUUCAAACACUGAAAUAGGAAUCAAAGGCCAAACCCAAAAAUGUCGAGAGAAAAAUAAACCUGACCAAAAAAGCAAUUAUAAAAGGAUCAUAGUUAGGGUUUUAAUCGUCCCUACAGCUCAACGCCUCUCUCUCUAUCUUCUACAAGCCGGCGAGGGAAGGAAAACCUGAGAGGGUGAAAAAUGCCAGCUGGUCACGGUCUCCGAUCUCGGACUAGGGAUCUGUUUUCCAGACCCUUCAGAAAGAAGGGUUACAUCCCAUUGUCCACUUACCUCAGGACCUACAAGAUCGGUGACUAUGUUGACGUCAAGGUAAAUGGCGCCGUUCACAAGGGUAUGCCCCACAAGUUCUACCAUGGCCGCACUGGUCGUGUCUGGAACGUCACCAAGCGCGCCAUCGGCGUUGAGGUCAACAAGCAG